AUAUGCUUAAUAUUUCUUUAUAUAUCUUAUUUCUUUAUAUAUAUAUAUAUAUAUAUAUCUUAUUGUAGGCUAAGGAUGUUGUUACAAUGGUUAUUGCCCUUUUUGUGGAUUCCCGUUUGCGGUUCACAAAACGGCCAGCAUUUAAAGUUGGAGAGUUUUAUGUGAUUAGUGGUUGCAAAGGUAUAUUUCUAAUAUUUUUUAUUUUCUAAUACCCUAGUUUCCAAUUUUUGUUAUUUUGUUAUUUUAGGUUUAUUUACAUUGUUAGGGAGAUGCAAGUUUCAUCCGAGGCUAUGGAUUCCCUCAACAAAUAAGAGAGUUACAGUGUCAUGUGAUGCAGUGCUAAAAGCUCAUCCAAAGGAGAUGGCUGUCACAACAUUUAUAGCGAGGGACCAGCGAUCUAUCCCCUUGUUUGUUAGAGUGUGCUGGGGAUACAAGUUCAAGAAAAGCGUUCAAUUAGAGGGAGAGUCAUUGGGGCUUUGGACUACUUUUUUGGCUCAGACAAAAUCUAUGACUGAAUUGCACGUGGUGAUGGAUUCGACCACAUUGCCAGGGAUAGUAAAUUCUGGGUAUGGAGAGAGAUAUAUAUCUUUUGAUCUGAAUUGGAGUUUCUUGAAUAGGUUCAGAGCAUAGGUAGUGAGACCAAAUAAUAUUUGGUUUGGAGUAGUUCAUGGCUUGGUGAAUAGAGUUGCCCACAAAUUGCCUCUACCACCUUCUUGAAGAGGAAGAAAAUCUAAAUUUGGAAAUUUGAAAUUAACACUUAGUUAAAGAACUUGACAAGUUUGUGAGGGAGUAAUUAGAAAGUAUAUCUUGUCAUAUUUCAAUUUGUUAUAUAUAUAUUUUUUAAGAUCGUAAGGAAGAUAACAGCUAAAGAGUUUAAGGAGGUUUUGCAUUACAGAGUGUCAAAAGAUUUAUUAAGCUGAAAAGGUAUCCGUAUAAAUUUUUGUUUUUGAAGCUAUGUGUUGCCUUGGUUUUUUGAGAAUUCUUGGGUGGACAACAUAAAAAAUAGCUUUUGUCCCUUGAAACUAAAGCUUUUGAUAUAAAAGCUUUUAUGUAUAGAAAAAUGUUUUAACAGUUAUUAGCUUAGUAACCUACUUGCCAUUAUUAAUACUUGUUUGUCCUCGAGCUCUUUGGCGUCCUCGGGCGGGGCUCAUGGCCCAAUUUAUCCCCCCAUUACUAAUUGUUGUUGAAUAUUACUAAUUGUUUGAAUAUUAGUAACUGAUGUUACUAAUAUUCAAACACCUCCAAAGAGUGCUCCUAUUUUAUCCUCUUUUUUUUUGCAAGACCAAACUUGAAUGACUCCCAUUCACCCCUCAUCUUGAUAAAGACUUAAUCAUAAGUAUUAUUUGUAUCAUCAUUCUCAAACAACUUGUCUCCAUAGUUUAGAAAUUUUGAAAACGCCUUUUUCUCUACUUCCAUAGCAUUUGUCUAAACCCAAAAAAACAAGAAAAGAAAAAAGUUAGAAAUUUAAACAUUUUUUUAAGGUAAGAAUUCAUUAAAAAAAUUUUACCAAGAAGCGUAAAUUGGUUUGAUCAAACUUGAAUGAAUCUGUUUCUAAGACAUUGGUCGGUCCCAUUACUUGGAACCUCUCUGCUGUGAGGUGGUCUUCCAAGUGAUAAUGCUUAAGAGCCACCUUAGAGCAAUACUUAGGGAUGUACUUUCCCAAUAUGCGAACGUAUCCCUGUCGUAAGAAAAAAAUAACAAUGAUAUCAUAAUUUUAAACUAUAAUAAUUAUAAUACCUUCUGUCAUAAUUCAUAACACUUACACAAUCAUUCUUAGCGUCAAUCAUAGUAUAACUAUCAAAUCCUUUUUGUAUAUUCUUCCUAAAUGAUAAUAAAAUGUAUAUAUUAGCGGUAAAAUUAAAAUUAAAUUAUAAAAUACACCAAAUAUGAAAAAUGUUAUUGAAAAACACAAAUGGUUUCAUAACUUUACCUCUUCUUAAAAACACAAUCAUUCUCAUACUCAGAAAUUGGUUAUUGAGAAGAGGUAAAGUUAUGAAACCAUUUGUGUUUUUCAAUAACAUUUUUCAUAUUUGGUGUAUUUUAUAAUUUAAUUUUAAUUUUAACGCUAAUAUAUAUGUUUUAUUAUCAUUUAGGAAGAAUAUGCAAGAAGGAUUUGAUAGUUGUACUAUGAUUGACGCUAAGAAUGAUUGUCAGGGAUAUGUUCGCAUAUUGGGAAAGUACAGCCCUAAGUAUCGCUCUAAGGUGGCUCUUAAGCAUUACCACUUGGAAGACCUCCUCAUAGCAGAGAAGUUCUAAGUAAUGGGACCGACCAAUGUCUUAAAAACAGAUUCAUUCAAGUUUGAUCACACCAAUUUACGCUUCUUGACAAAUGCUAUGGAAGUAAAGAGAAAGGCGUUUUCAAAAUUUCUAAAUUAUGGAAACGGGUUGUUUGAGAAUGAUGAUACUUCUGAUGAAGUCAUCAAGAUGAGGGGUGAAUGGGAGCCAUUCAAGCUUGGUCUUGCAAAAAAAAAAAGAGAGGAUAAAAUAGGAGCACUCUUUGGAGGUGUUGUGAGGGAAAGGUUUGUUUAUGCUAGAUCCUAGCAUUAAUUGUUUUUUCUCCUUGAUUUUUUUCUGCUCAUGUGCUUCGAAAGCAUACUUGGUAGGAUCAUUUGUGCCUUUUUGGUGGUAGAGCAAUAUAUCAUGUUUUUGAACUCUUUUUGAUGUUUCUGGGUUGUAUUUAGAGACUUUGUUUUUGGUUACGUGCUUGUAUUUACCAGAUCCAAAAAGUGAAUUUUUAAUUCUACUUGGCGUUUGCAUAUGCACUAUGAGACUAUGACCGAUUUGGAAAGGUCUGUAGUUAUAUUGUUUGAAAACAAGAGAGAACGAGAGUGCAAACGUGGACUUGAAGCCGGACAUGAUCGAACUCCAGCAAGAGUCUCUAGGGACUGCCGUGGGUCCUCUUUGGUGAAGGACGGGAAAUCUUUGCGACGAGAUUCCCCACACCAUGAUGCUUUACAUAUGUGGAUCUUGAUGUUUUAUUUUGUGUCCUGCUCAAGUUCUAAAUAUAUUGCUGCAUGUGUAUCUUGCAGCCCUUAUAACUAACUUGGUGUUCUCUUAUGCUAUUACUUCAAUGCUUUUUGCAAAGUUUAUCUUAUGCUUAUCCAGAACAUGCUAUUGUACCUUUAAUCUUUUUCCUGCAAGUAGCAGUUUGUGAUUUUAAUGGUUUUUGUUAAACAAUAUAUUAGUGUUUUUGAUGAGUAAGAAAAAUUUUAUUGAAAAAGACUACUUCAUGCAAGAUGAAUGGAGUACCAUAAAAAUAUGUACAAGAAAGAAGAGUAGAAAAACAAUCUGUUACUUGUUUUUCUAAAAUUUUUGUCCAGUUACUGGCCAGAAAACAAAUAUUGCAUCUUAGAACAAGCAUUUGAACUCAAACUAGUUUUAUGAUUUAUAAUAUCCUAUGUUUCUUCACUUCUUCUCAAAACCAAGUGGAUGGUUGUUGUAUUACUUAUUUUUUGAAAGAAGGAAACGAUAAGAUGGUUUUUAUUAUUAUUAUUAUUAUUAUUUUUAUACAUUGUU